rnacentral:sRNA from 1 species
UGCAAUCUGUUUCCUUUGAAGCGGUGUUGGGCCUGCUUGCCGCGGGAGUGACGCUACUUCUUCCGGAGACCAAGGGGGUCGCUUUGCCAGAGACCAUGAAGGACGCCGAGAACCUUGGGAGAAAAGCAAAGCCCAAAGAAAACACGAUUUACCUUAAGGUCCAAACCUCAGAACCCUCGGGCACCUGAGAGAGAUGUUUUGCGGCGAUGUCGUGUUGGAGGGAUGAAGAUGGAGUUAUCCUCUGCAGAAAUUCCUAGACGCCUUCACUUCUCUGUAUUCUUCCUCAUACUUGCCUACCCCCAAAUUAAUAUCAGUCCUAAAGAA